UGCCUUACACAUGCAAGUCGAACGGCAGCACGGGUGCUUGCACCUGGUGCGAGUGGCGAACGGGUGAGUAAUAUAUAGGUAAUAUGCCUCUUACUAAGGGAUAACAGAUGGAAACGUCUGCUAAUACCUUAUAUGCCUUUAGGACUAAAGUCCGCAAGGGAAAGAUUUAUCGGUAAGAGAUUAGCCUGUACAGUAUCAGUUAGUUGGUGAGGUAAAGGCCUACCAAGGCGACGAUCCGUAGCGGGUCUGAGAGGAUGAUCCGCCACACUGGGACUGAGACACGGCCCAGACUCCUACGGGAGGCAGCAGUGGGGAAUAUUGGACAAUGGGCGCAAGCCUGAUCCAGCCAUGCCGCGUGUGUGAAGAAGGCCUUCGGGUUGUAAAGCACUUUCAGCGAGGAGGAAGGGAUGUAUGUUAAUAGCAUGCAUUUUUGACGUUACUCGCAGAAGAAGCACCGGCUAACUCUGUG
rnacentral:rRNA from 1 species